rnacentral:misc_RNA from 1 species
GCAAGUUCCCGCGUUGCUACCCAUUCAGGUACUGCUGCCUCGCUGCAAAAGGCUGCACUGUCUAAAAAAGGCGUCCAUAUCAUGCCUGGAGGAACUCCUGCAGUCAAAUCAUCUGUGCCAGGUAGCUUUAAUGGUUUGCCUAGUAAUGUGCAUUUCAUGCGAACUGGCCUGGUGUCCCGUCCCGCAGGUCCCUCAAAUGCCCCACAGUCUGGAACUCAGCAAUUGCAUGCUCCAAGAACUCAGCAAUUGCAGGCUCCAAGAUCUGUAUCACCUGCAGUUCAACCUAAACCAACGACUGUGCCAUCCAGAACGAAUGCUUCAUCUGGGGUUCGAAGUGCCCCUUCAUCUUAUCCAACGACCGUGCUCGAUGUAAAAUCUAAAGCAGCCGUUAGCCAAGAAAAUCAAAUUGCUG